AGCGAACGCUGGCGGCAGGCCUAACACAUGCAAGUCGAACGAACUCUUCGGAGUUAGUGGCGGACGGGUGAGUAACACGUGGGAACGUGCCUUUAGGUUCGGAAUAACUCAGGGAAACUUGUGCUAAUACCGAAUGUGCCCUUCGGGGGAAAGAUUUAUCGCCUUUAGAGCGGCCCGCGUCUGAUUAGCUAGUUGGUGAGGUAAAGGCUCACCAAGGCGACGAUCAGUAGCUGGUCUGAGAGGAUGAUCAGCCACAUUGGGACUGAGACACGGCCCAAACUACUACGGGAGGCAGCAGUGGGGAAUCUUGCGCAAUGGGCGAAAGCCUGACGCAGCCAUGCCGCGUGAAUGAUGAAGGUCUUAGGAUUGUAAAAUUCUUUCACCGGGGACGAUAAUGACGGUACCCGGAGAAGAAGCCCCGGCUAACUUCGUG
rnacentral:rRNA from 1 species